UACUGUUGAAUUGGAGGGUUCAGUUUUGGUAGCAAUUACUUGGGAAAUUUAUUUUUAUUGAGUAAUAUUGAUGAGUGACGUAACUUUUGUUAUAGAUGAGAUCCGAUCCGAUAAAAAAGCUAAUUGGACAGUAAAAUCGUGAUAAAGUUGAAUGGAUUACUGGAGUUGAAUGCGUUUUACGGCACUUUCGCACCACCGUGCGUUAAAAAAAUACACACUUUCCUCAUAGGCAACACAUCCGGAAGUCCCUGACGCUGCAGGUGUAUGGACACGGCAGCAGUUAGCACUUUAUUAAGAGUAAUAUUCGUUUGUUUUCUGUCGUGAAUAUAUUUCACUAAUGUGUA